GUAAAUAUAGCUUAGUGGUAGAGCACAUGCUUAGCAUGCACAAGGUCCUGGGUUCAAUCCCCAGUAUCUCCA
rnacentral:tRNA from 1 species